GGUUCGGUAGCUAAGUGGUAUAGGUACGCUACCCCACAUUCUUCAUGACUCCAACGCGACAAAAACUAAGUGAAAACAGCGUGGGAUUGCAGUAAAAUUGACAUCCUAAGGUCUCGUGUUCGAUCCACGAUCGAACCU